GACGAACGCUGGCGGCGUGCUUAACACAUGCAAGUCGAACGGAAAGGCCCUGCUUUUGUGGGGUGCUCGAGUGGCGAACGGGUGAGUAACACGUGAGUAACCUGCCCUUGACUUUGGGAUAACUUCAGGAAACUGGGGCUAAUACCGGAUAGGAGCUCCUGCUGCAUGGUGGGGGUUGGAAAGUUUCGGCGGUUGGGGAUGGACUCGCGGCUUAUCAGCUUGUUGGUGGGGUAGUGGCUUACCAAGGCUUUGACGGGUAGCCGGCCUGAGAGGGUGACCGGCCACAUUGGGACUGAGAUACGGCCCAGACUCCUACGGGAGGCAGGAGUGGGGAAUAUUGCACAAUGGGCGGAAGCCUGAUGCAACAACGCCGCGUGCGGGAUGACGGCCUUCGGGUUGUAAACCGCUUUCGCCUGUGACGAAGCGUGAGUGACGGUAAUGGGUAAAGAAGCACCGGCUAACUACGUG
rnacentral:rRNA from 1 species